GAUGAACGCUGGCGGCGUGCCUAACACAUGCAAGUCGAACGGAGAUUACGGACGGAAGUUUUCGGAUGGAAGCCUGUAAUUCUUAGUGGCGGACGGGUGAGUAACGCGUGGGCAACCUGCCCUAUACAGGGGGAUAGCAGCUGGAAACGGCUGGUAAGACCGCAUAAGUCGGUUAAAUCGCAUGAUUUGAUCGGGAAAUGAGCAAUCAGGUAUAGGAUGGGCCCGCGUCCGAUUGGCCAGUUGGCAGGGUAAAAGCCUACCAAAGCGACGAUCGGUAGCCGGACUGAGAGGUCGGACGGCCACAUUGGGACUGAGACACGGCCCAAACUCCUACGGGAGGCAGCAGUGGGGGAUAUUGCACAAUGGAGGAAACUCUGAUGCAGCGACGCCGCGUGAGUGAAGAAGUAUUUCGGUAUGUAAAGCUCUAUCAGCAGGGAAGAUGAUGACGGUACCUGACGAAGAAGCCCCGGCUAACUACGUG
rnacentral:rRNA from 1 species